rnacentral:rRNA from 1 species
AUUGAACGCUGGCGGCAGGCCUAACACAUGCAAGUCGAACGAGUGGCGGACGGGUGAGUAAUGUCUGGGAAACUGCCCGAUGGAGGGGGAUAACUACUGGAAACGGUAGCUAAUACCGCAUACCAUCGGAUGUGCCCAGAUGGGAUUAGCUAGUGGGUGGGGUAAUGGCUUACCUAGGCGACGAUCCCUAGCUGGUCUGAGAGGAUGACAAGCCACACUGGAACUGAGACACGGUCCAGACUCCUACGGGAGGCAGCAGUGGGGAAUAUUGCACAAUGGGCGCAAGCCUGAUGCAGCCAUGCCGCGUGUAUGAAGAAGGCCUUCGGGUUGUAAAGUACUUUCGGCAGGGAGGCGUUACCCGAAGAAGAAGCACCGGCUAACUCCGUGCCAGCCGCCGCGGUAAUUC